GACGAACGCUGGCGGCGUGCUUAACACAUGCAAGUCGAACGGAAAGGCCCUGCUUGUGUGUGAUGCUCGAGUGGCGAACGAGUGAGUAACACGUGAGUAACCUGCCCUGGGCGUUGGGAUAACUUCAGGAAACUGGGGCUAAUACCGGAUAGGAGCUCCAGCGGGAGGGUGGGGGUUGGAAAGUUUCGGCGGUGGGGGAUGGACUCGCGGCUGAUCAGCGUGUGGGUGGGGUAGUGGCUUACCAAGGCUUUGACGGGUAGCCGGCCGGAGAGGGUGACCGGCCACCUUGGGACUGAGAUACGGACCAGACUCCUAUGGGAGGCAGCAGUGGGGAAUAUUGCCCAAUGGGCGGAAGCCUGAUGCAGCAACGCCGCGUGCGGGAUGACGGCCUUCGGGUUGUAAACCGCUUUCGCCUGUGACGAAGCGUGAGUGACGGUAAUGGGUAAAGAAGCACCGGCUAACUACGUG
rnacentral:rRNA from 1 species